rnacentral:tRNA from 1 species
GCGUGGCAAGCAUAGAUGGCGAUGCGGCCGGCUUCCAGCCGGAGGAGAGCGGUUCGAGCCCGACUGCCACGCUCCA